rnacentral:rRNA from 1 species
UACGAGGGGUGCAAGCGUUGCUCGGAAUUAUUGGGCGUAAAGGGCAGGUAGGUGGUCUCAUUUGUCAGGGGUGAAAGCCUUGGGCUUAACCCAAGAAGUGCCUUUGAAACGGUGAGACUGGAGUCUUGGAGAGGGUCGUGGAAUUCCCAGUGUAGCGGUGAAAUGCGCAGAUAUCAGGAGGAACACCGGUGGCGAAGGCGGGUCUCUGGGCCGAUACUGACGCUGAGGAGCGAAAGCGUGGGGAGCGAACAGG